rnacentral:rRNA from 1 species
GGAACUGCAUUUGAAACUGGUUGACUAGAGUUUUGUAGAGGGUGGUAGAAUUUCAGGUGUAGCGGUGAAAUGCGUAGAGAUCUGAAGGAAUACCAGUGGCGAAGGCGGCCACCUGGACAGAGACUGACACUGAGGCGCGAAGGCGUGGGGAGCAAACGGGAUUAGAUACCCCGGUAGUCCACGCAGUAAACGAUGUCUAUUAGAAGUUUGUGGCUAUAUGCCGUGGGUUUCAAAGCUAACGCAUUAAAUAGACCGCCUGGGGAGUACGGCCGCAAGGUUAAAACUCAAAUGAAUUGACGGGGGCCCGCACAAGCGGUGGAGCAUGUGGUUUAAUUCGAUGCAACGCGAAGAACCUUACCAUCCCUUGACAUCCAGAGAAUCACCUAGAGAUAGAUGAGUGCCUUCGGGAACUCUGAGACAGGUGCUGCAUGGCUGUCGUCAGCUCGUGUUGUGAAAUGUUGGGUUAAGUCCCGCAACGAGCGCAACCCUUAUCCUUAGUUGCCAGCACGUAAUGGUGGGAACUCUAGGGAGACUGCCGGUGAUAAACCGGAGGAAGGUGGGGACGACGUCAAGUCAUCAUGGCCCUUACGGGAUGGGCUACACACGUGCUACAAUGGCAAAUACAAAGGGUUGCUAACCUGCGAGGGUAUGCGAAUCUCAUAAAGUUUGUCGUAGUCCGGAUCGGAGUCUGCAACUCGACUCCGUGAAGUUGGAAUCGCUAGUAAUCGUGGAUCAGAAUGCCACGGUGAAUACGUUCCCGGGCCUUGUACACACCGCCCGUCACACCAUGGGAGUGGGCUGCACCAGAAGUCAUUAGCUUAACCUUCGGGAUGGCGAUGACCACGGUGUGGUUCAUGACUGGGGUGAA